CCUACGGGAGGCUGCAGUGAGGAAUAUUGGUCAAUGGACGAGAGUCUGAACCAGCCAAGUAGCGUGAAGGAUGACUGCCCUAUGGGUUGUAAACUUCUUUUAUAUGGGAAUAAAAUGUUCCACGUGUGGGCUUUUGUAUGUACCAUACGAAUAAGGAUCGGCUAACUCCGUGCCAGCAGCCGCGGUAAUACGGAGGAGCCGAGCGUUAUCCGGAUUUAUUGGGUUUAAAGGGAGCGUAGGUGGAUUGUUAAGUCAGUUGUGAAAGUUUGCGGCUCAACCGUAAAAUUGCAGUUGAAACUGGCAGUCUUGAGUCCAGUAGAGGUGGGCGGAAUGCGUGGUGUAGCGGUGAAAUGCUUAGAUAUCACGAAGAACUCCGAUUGCGAAGGCAGCUCACUGGACUGCAACUGACACUGAGGCUCGAAAGUGUGGGUAUCAAACAGGAUUAGAUACCCGAGUAGUC
rnacentral:rRNA from 1 species